AAAAUAUUCCCUUAAAUUGUAAACAUCAGAGGCUUCAACAUAGGAACUGUUUUAAAUGUGGAACGUGUUCACUUAUUCAAUAUUGAGAGAUGUGGUUGUUUAUUUGGUACAUGUUUGACAGUUUUGUCUUGGUUAAUGCUUCCAUAAUGUGCCAUUGAAUUGACUUGAACAGACGGAAAGGUCUUAUUUUAAUGUAUCCUACACAUAGUCCCCCCCAUGGCCAAACUGCUGAGCAUGUUUAAGUAUUAAGACUUUAAUGCCAACACUGUCUGGAUGUAAAUCGCCGGAGCAGCAGUAAGAAACACUCAUUUCAUUUGCAGUUGGCCUUUGGAAUACCUGUUCUUCCACAAAUACAUUCAGCCCAGAGCUGUUGUUCAGACUAGGUGUAUCACCCUUGGGUGAGUCAUGGGCCUCUAUAAAUACAAUCAAAACACUCACAAUGUGCACCAGUCUCUCAACUUCUUGAUCAGGUAAUGUGAACACAUGAUACACUCAAUGUGUGCAGCAGUCUAAUAUUUAGAAAUUUAAAGGUGUUGAUUUAACAUUGAAAGUGCUGAAGAUUAUGUUCCACUCUUUCUUUCUCAAGUAGUGUUGUGUACAGUGCCUGUCAACCAAACAGAUAAGAUGUCUGAGAAGAAAUGCGACAAGCUAGAGGAGUGUGUGCCCGAAGGAGAGUGUGAGGAUCGUGGAAAGGGUUGUGACAAGGGAAAGGGAAAGGAUGGCGACUCUGAUGGAUGCCAUGGAAAGUCGGGUGAACGUGGGGGACACGGACACGGAAGGGGAGGAGGCCCGGACUGUGGAGAGCGUGGUGGAAAGGGUGGUCGUGGGGGAAAGAACAACUAAUGACUUUGUUUUGUCUGAAG
ensembl:lncRNA